UACGAAGGGGGCUAGCGUUGCUCGGAAUCACUGGGCGUAAAGCGCACGUAGGCGGAUUGUUAAGUCAGGGGUGAAAUCCUGGAGCUCAACUCCAGAACUGCCUUUGAUACUGGCGAUCUCGAGUCCGGGAGAGGUGAGUGGAACUGCGAGUGUAGAGGUGAAAUUUGUAGAUAUUCGCAAGAACACCAGUGGCGAAGGCGGCUCACUGGCCCGGUACUGACGCUGAGGUGCGAAAGCGUGGGAGCAACAGGG
rnacentral:rRNA from 1 species